CGCGAAUCGCCCUUCGGGGUGCAGCAGGCGCGAAAACUUUACAAUGCGGGAAACCGUGAUAAGGGGACACCGAGUGCCAGCAUCAUAUGCUGGCUGUCCGGGUGUGUAAAAUACACCCGUUAGCAAGGGCCGGGCAAGACCGGUGCCAGCCGCCGCGGUAACACCGGCGGCCCGAGUGGUGAUCGUGAUUAUUGGGUCUAAAGGGUCCGUAGCCGGUUUGGUCAGUCCUCCGGGAAAUCUGAUAGCUCAACUAUUAGGCUUUCGGGGGAUACUGCCAGGCUUGGAACCGGGAGAGGUAAGCGGUACUACAGGGGUAGGAGUGAAAUCUUGUAAUCCCUGUGGGACCACCUGUGGCGAAGGCGUCUUACCAUAACGGGUUCGACGGUGAGGGACGAAAGCUGGGGGCACGAACCGGAUUAGAUACCCGGGUAGUCCCAGCCGUAAACGAUGCUCGCUAGGUGUCAGGCAUGGCGCGACCGUGUCUGGUGCCGCAGGGAAGCCGUGAAGCGAGCCACCUGGGAAGUACGGCCGCAAGGCUGAAACUUAAAGGAAUUGGCGGGGGAGCAC
rnacentral:rRNA from 1 species